rnacentral:rRNA from 1 species
AACGAACGCUGGCGGCAGGCCUAACACAUGCAAGUCGAACGCGUCCUUCGGGACGAGUGGCAGACGGGUGAGUAACGCGUGGGAACGUACCCUUUGGUUCGGAACAACUCCGGGAAACUGGAGCUAAUACCGGAUAAGCCCUUCGGGGGAAAGAUUUAUCGCCAGAGGAUCGGCCCGCGUUAGAUUAGCUUGUUGGUGAGGUAAUGGCUCACCAAGGCUACGAUCUAUAGCUGGUCUGAGAGGAUGAUCAGCCACACUGGGACUGAGACACGGCCCAGACUCUUACGGGAGGCAGCAGUGGGGAAUCUUGGACAAUGGGCGAAAGCCUGAUCCAGCCAUGCCGCGUGAAUGAUGAAGGCCCUAGGGUUGUAAAAUUCUUUCGACGGGGAAGAUAAUGACGGUACCCGUAGAAGAAGCUCCGGCUAACUUCGUGCCAGCAGCCGCAGUAACAC